rnacentral:rRNA from 1 species
GAUAAACGCUGGCGGCGUGCCUAAUACAUGCAAGUCGAGCGAACGGACGAGAAGCUUGCUUCUCUGAUGUUAGCGGCGGACGGGUGAGUAACACGUGGAUAACCUACCUAUAAGACUGGGAUAACUUCGGGAAACCGGAGCUAAUACCGGAUAAUAUUUUGAACCGCAUGGUUCAAAAGUGAAAGACGGUCUUGCUGUCACUUAUAGAUGGAUCCGCGCUGCAUUAGCUAGUUGGUAAGGUAACGGCUUACCAAGGCAACGAUGCAUAGCCGACCUGAGAGGGUGAUCGGCCACACUGGAACUGAGACACGGUCCAGACUCCUACGGGAGGCAGCAGUAGGGAAUCUUCCGCAAUGGGCGAAAGCCUGACGGAGCAACGCCGCGUGAGUGAUGAAGGUCUUCGGAUCGUAAAACUCUGUUAUUAGGGAAGAACAUAUGUGUAAGUAACUGUGCACAUCUUGACGGUACCUAAUCAGAAAGCCACGGCUAACUACGUGCCAGCAGCCGCGGUAAUACGUAGGUGGCAAGCGUUAUCCGGAAUUAUUGGGCGUAAAGCGCGCGUAGGCGGUUUUUUAGUCUGAUGUGAAAGCCCCACGGCUCAACCGUGGAGGGUCAUUGGAAACUGGAAAACUUGAGUGCAGAAGAGGAAAGUGGAAUUCCAUGUGUAGCGGUGAAAUGCGCAGAGAUAUGGAGGAACACCAGUGGCGAAGGCGACUUUCUGGUCUGUAACUGACGCUGAUGUGCGAAAGCGUGGGGAUCAAACAGGAUUAGAUACCCUGGUAGUCCACGCCGUAAACGAUGAGUGCUAAGUGUUAGGGGGUUUCCGCCCCUUAGUGCUGCAGCUAACGCAUUAAGCACUCCGCCUGGGGAGUACGACCGCAAGGUUGAAACUCAAAGGAAUUGACGGGGACCCGCACAAGCGGUGGAGCAUGUGGUUUAAUUCGAAGCAACGCGAAGAACCUUACCAAAUCUUGACAUCCUUUGACAACUCUAGAGAUAGAGCCUUCCCCUUCGGGGGACAAAGUGACAGGUGGUGCAUGGUUGCCGUCAGCUCGUGUCGUGAGAUGUUGGGUUAAGUCCCGCAACGAGCGCAACCCUUAAGCUUAGUUGCCAUCAUUAAGUUGGGCACUCUAAGUUGACUGCCGGUGACAAACCGGAGGAAGGUGGGGAUGACGUCAAAUCAUCAUGCCCCUUAUGAUUUGGGCUACACACGUGCUACAAUGGACAAUACAAAGGGCAGCGAAACCGCGAGGUCAAGCAAAUCCCAUAAAGUUGUUCUCAGUUCGGAUUGUAGUCUGCAACUCGACUACAUGAAGCUGGAAUCGCUAGUAAUCGUAGAUCAGCAUGCUACGGUGAAUACGUUCCCGGGUCU